UACGGAGGGGGCUAGCGUUGUUCGGAAUUACUGGGCGUAAAGCGCACGUAGGCGGAUCAGUCAGUCAGGGGUGAAAUCCCGGGGCUCAACCCCGGAACUGCCUUUGAUACUGCUGGUCUUGAGGUCGAGAGAGGUGAGUGGAAUUCCGAGUGUAGAGGUGAAAUUCGUAGAUAUUCGGAGGAACACCAGUGGCGAAGGCGGCUCACUGGCUCGAUACUGACGCUGAGACGCGAAAGCGUGGGGAGCAAACAGG
rnacentral:rRNA from 1 species